UGAGGGCGCCCCCGCCCGGCCCCCCCUCGUAUCCCCGCGCGUCCGGGGCGCUCCCGUCGGGAUCACCCCCAUCCCGGUGGGUCUGCCCGGGCUCCAGCCACGUCUCCAGGUGGCCCCGCGGGCUGAGCGGGGACAGCGGUGCGAAACGAGGUGUCCUCAGCGCCCCCGAGCCUCCAGUAGGCUCUUCCUCAGCCCGUGGGAAGCGAGCGAUCGCUGCACCCCCCGCCCUGAGCCGCUCUGGGUAGUGAAGUGGCUCCGGGCGCCUGUCACUGGAGAGCGGAAAUGCCAAGGAAAAAAAAAAACAAACCAAAAAAAACAACAGAGCACACCUGACUCACGCUGGCCCUCUGGUACAAACCCAGUGUGCCUAUCAUCAGUGUGAGGACUUCAGAGCAUGCUUGCAGUGUGUGGUGCAUGAGGAAAAGGAAGAAAAAUGACUAAAACUUGAAGUCAGACUCUGGCAUGCUUGAAUACCAUAUGCCUGCACUAUUGAGAGACUGGAGCAGAGUAUCUGGAGAAAGAUGAGAGAGUGUGGGUGGCAAUAGAAAAAACAACCACCACUAUAAUUUCUGGAAAUUAUUUCGGCUGAAUGAAUGCAGCGAAGACAUCUCAUGGGAAUAGGAGAGGUCUUGCAGACAAUACCUGACUGACUCUUCAGGCAAAAAAAGCAAGACACACCAAGAAAAUAGAAAUAUGACCCUAAAAAUCCAGCCUGGGAUGCCUUAGAAUGGAUGUGAAAGUCCAGGCAAAUGAAGACUGCUCAAGCAAUAGUUGCUUUAUAAACCUAAGAGGGUGAGAGGGAAAAGAUGGGCAGAAAAUAUCAAAGGCUUUGCCAUGGUUCUUAACCUCAUUGCUAAGGAUUUCAGUAAAUUUUAAAUCUGUUUAUAUUUUUUUUAUAGUGCCCAUUACUCUAUAAUGGAUAAUGAAAUGCCUUUCUUCCAGGGACCAUGUGCCAGUUCAUUCUUGGAGUCUUCAGAAAAAAAUGCAGUUCUUGGAUAUCUUUAUCAGAGAUUCCGGGAUCGCCUCUGUGUUGGGGUAAUUCUGGGCACUGGGGGAGUGACAUGCAGGAGGUUGAGCUACCUUGCCCCAUAUGGCCAUGUCCUAAAAUGUCCUUUUAAGAUGGAGGAUAUUUAUUACUUGGAAGGGAAUGGAAGCAAAUGCUUCCAUAAGAAAAGCCAGGAUGGAUCUACUAACUUGCAAAAGAGAGAGGAAACAUCAGACAGGCCUGAUCUUCUAAGUUUGAUGGGCACAGGAAGUCCAUGGACCAGACUGAGUGAUCCUUACAUUUGAGGGGGUAAGCAUUAUACCCUGAAAAGGGUUCUUAUACAAAACAUAUUAGCUGAAGGAUUUUAACCUUGUCCUGUAUUGCAUUUUCACACAGGGAGUACUGAAUACUGUUUGCUGUUCUAGUUAAGAUUUUUUGGCUGUUGAUUGUUAGUGCAUUUACCACUCUAAACCACUUCCAAAAUCCCUGAAGAAGCAGGUGGAAGGCCAAGUAGAUGAGAAAAAUACAUGAAUUAGCCAAUUAAGUGAAGGUCAUAAAUGAACCCCAUUUCAAGAGGCAUCAUCAAACAUUUGUUUGAAAAGAGAAAUUUGCGAAGAAGGAAGCAGGUGUCAAAUUUCUUUUGGCAGCUGGAUGCUGAAAAGCAAUUAGAAUGAAAAGCUACCUGAUCUAAAGCUCAAGACACCAGGAGGAUGUGCCUUAACAAGUGGAAGGAAACACAUAUCGAUGGAGUUUACAACUCUCAUGCUGUAGGGAGGGUGCAGAGCAGUGAGGAAAUGUGCUGACAUGCCUGAAUUCUGGCAGGAUAUAGGACACUGGCACUGCCAGUGAGGAGGAACUUGAGAGUGAUUUUUGGGCUCUGUAUUCAAACAGAUGUCUGUCUUCCGCAGCAUGCUGUAGGAAAAGAGAGGUUUUGAACCAUUAGAAAAGCAAAGGAAGUGCAAUAGCCCAGAUUUUUAUCAUAAUUACACCCAGGUGGUUCUGAAGUGACUACACCCGUGUCAUUGAAGUUACACCAGAGCAAAACUUGUGUUAGAACUGAAUUGAGCUCUUUGUUUGCUUGCAUUUGUGUACCAAAAGAGUACUCUAACAGCUCUUAGUAAAUAAUAAAUUAAUAAUGAUAUUAUGAUCUCCCUUAUGACUGGAAGAAGUACAGAAAAAUUAGUGUCAGAGUAAGAAUUUGCUUGCAAGAUUCUUUGACUGUGUCAUUUCUACAUUGGUAUUGAAUAUAGGGUGCCUUGCUGGACUAAUUUUAAUUUCUGCACCAAUUAAAAUUUUUAUUUCAAACAUCAGCAACACCCAGUGUAGUCAGACAGCAUGUGGUGAACGAUACAAACCCUAAAGCAUAUAGUUUAUAGAUCAAAUGAGUAAGACCUCUGUUUUUUGCAUUGUAAAAUACCUUUAAAUCCCUAGCAGAAAGUAGUAAUGAAAACAACUAAUGAAGGCAAGUGCUUUUUCUGUCUCCCUGUUGUAAAGCAAAUAAUAUUUUAGUAGUUGGUUUCGUUUGUGUUUCCCCAUUUGUGCCUCAGAAUACACCAGAUUGCAAUGUUACAUCACAUUUUUAAUGACUGGAACCAUGUCCUGAGAUCCCCCUUCGACCACACCACAACUUCCUUCUUUUUUUUCUCCUCCUGGCUAGAGGACUGUAUGUAAUUAUGAUGAGGACAUAAUUCAAUUAAUUAUUGACAGACACGUAAUCAACACUCAGAUCUUUCUCUGAUAAAUAUCUUCCUGCUCUCUGACUUCUGUUUGUCGUGCACUAGGGAGGUGGAAAGGCACUAAAAAUGCGUUUUAGAGAUAGGACGUUUCUCAAUCCUUUGUAUCAGCCAGAGAGGCUUCUGCCGCCCUGGGCUCUUUAGAUCUACAGCGUAUUGUUCUCGUCUGUGCUAAACAAGUAUCCCCGAGAAAGCUCAGUGGGAUGGAGGCUUAUGGUUCAUUUUAAGUGAAGGAUAUAAUAGGAGCAGAUAACUUUGAUUUGUGCAAAGGAAAAGUGUGAUCUCUUUCAGGGAUUCCAGGAAUUCAUAGCAAUUUUUUCUUCUGUUGGUGAUUAAAGAGAAAGUGAUAAAUAAGAGCUCUGUGUUCGGUUUAAAGGAGGAAUGUAGCUUUAGAAAGCUGACUUAUUUAGGAAAAAAAAAGAAAAAAAUCCUGACCUCAGAUAGCCUUUGACCAAAAUCUGCUAGUAGUACAGAGCAAAGACGAGGCUGUUUCUGUUACUAUUAAAGCCCACGUAAGGACAGUGAUCACAGAAGUCCGUACGACCGUAAAAUGUCCUGGGGGUCGGGCUGGGGUGGGGACGUGCCAGGGGUUUGCCCGUAUAACUUCGGAUUACAACUAAAGCGUGCCAAAAGCGGAUAAGGGAAAGAGAUAACGAGGUGAGAAAGCAAAGAAUGGCUUUAUUGUAAAGUGAGGAAAACUAAGCUCUAGGAAAAAAAAAAAAGAAAAAGAGUAAACGCGUACACAGAGGCUGCCCUUGUAGCCGAGAGGAGACCCGCUGCUCCUCUGCCUUUGGUUUUGGAGGCACGACGUGCGUGGGGCUGGGAAAGGCGCUGCGGGGGCAGGGCCAGGGCCGCGCUGGGAGCCGUGGGCAGCGGGGCAGAGCGGGGGGCUGUGCUGUCCCGCA